AUUGAACGCUGGCGGCAGGCCUAACACAUGCAAGUCGAGCGGAUGAAGGGAGCUUGCUCCUGGAUUCAGCGGCGGACGGGUGAGUAAUGCCUAGGAAACUGCCUGGUAGUGGGGGAUAACGUCCGGAAAAGGGCGCUAAUACCGCAUACGUUCUGAGGGAGAAAGGGGGGGAGCUUCGGACCUCACGCUAUCAGAUGAGCCUAGGUCGGAUUAGCUAGUUGGUGGGGUAAAGGCCUACCAAGGCGACGAUCCGUAACUGGUCUGAGAGGAUGAUCAGUCACACUGGAACUGAGACACGGUCCAGACUCCUACGGGAGGCAGCAGUGGGGAAUGUUGGACAAUGGGCGAAAGCCUGAUCCAGCCAUGCCGCGUGUGUGAAGAAGGUCUUCGGAUUGUAAAGCACUUUAAGUUGGGAGGAAGGGCAGUAAGUUAAUACCUUGCUGUUUUGACGUUACCAACAGAAUAAGCACCGGCUAACUUCGUG
rnacentral:rRNA from 1 species